rfam:Pan troglodytes isolate Yerkes chimp pedigree #C0471 (Clint) chromosome 11, whole genome shotgun sequence.
AUUAAGGUAGUAUAGUAGAGUAAAAUACUUCGAAGCCAAAAGAUCUAGGUUUGAAUCCUAGCUUUCAUG